GAUGAACGCUGGCGGCGUGCCUAAUACAUGCAAGUCGAGCGAAUGAUGAGGAGCUUGCUCCUCUGAUUUAGCGGCGGACGGGUGAGUAACACGUGGGUAACCUGCCUGUAAGAUGGGGAUAACUCCGGGAAACCGGGGCUAAUACCGAAUAAUAAAAGAGGAAGCAUUUCUUCUUUUUGAAAGUUGGUUUCGGCUAACACUUACAGAUGGGCCCGCGGCGCAUUAGCUAGUUGGUGAGGUAACGGCUCACCAAGGCGACGAUGCGUAGCCGACCUGAGAGGGUGAGCGGCCACACUGGAGCUGAGACACGGCCCAGACUCCUACGGGAGGCAGCAGUAGGGAAUCUUCGGCAAUGGGCGAAAGCCUGACCGAGCAACGCCGCGUGAGCGAGGAAGGCCUUCGGGUCGUAAAGCUCUGUUGUCAGGGAAGAACAAGUACGAGAGUAACUGCUCGUACCUUGACGGUACCUGACCAGAAAGCCACGGCUAACUACGUGCCAGCCGCCGCAGUAA
rnacentral:rRNA from 1 species